UGUGUGUGUGUGCGCGUGUGAGAGAGAGAGAGAGAGAGAGAGAGAGACGAGGUGGGGCGGUGGUUUUGGGGUUUGGGAUUCUGGAUGCGGUCGAUGCUGCCUUACCCCGUGAAGACGCUGCGAAAGGAACCAAUCAAGCCCUCGUGUGAUGGAACCCUACCUUCCCUCAGAUUUGCAAUUUCUGCAUAUGCUAGAUUCUCUCUGAGAUACAAAGGUCAAUCUUUUCUGUACUGAGAUUCUCUCCUAGCUUGAUGAUGAGCCUUCUUUGCCUUUGCAAAUGAAGACAGUCGUGUUGCGAUUGGCGAACGAAGCAUACGAUCUCCAGUCACUCGGAAGUUGGUUUCAUUCUCGAGUGUUUGAAGAUGAUCUGGUCAAUCUUUUUUGUACUGAGAUUUUCUUCUAUUUUGAAGAUGAGCCUUCUUUGCCUUGGCAAAUGAGGACAGUCAUGUUGCAAUUGGCGAAGCAUACGUUCUCCAUUGACUGCCAAGCUGGUUUCAUUCUCGGGUGUUUACUUCAAUCAAAUGUUUCUCCUCUCGUUGUCAUCUUUAUACACGCUUGAACCCAUUUAAUUUUUUACUUCCUUUGAUUGCAAUCUGUAUUAUUAUGUCUUAAAAAAGCUGUUGAAAUGAUGGGAAAAAUAAUUAUGAUUCAUAUAACUAAUGAUACUUAUGUGGGUUAA